CAACAGCUUUGGAAUUUGUUCAAAAUGUCACAAUAGAAUGCAUCUGUUGUGACACUGAAAGUUGAAUCAUCCAUUUCGGAUGACACCUUUCAAAGGAGUGAUAGAAGACCACAUCAUACAUGCAACUCACCCAACAUGGAGUCAUGCACUCACAGAAGGUGAAUCGUUUGUGAAAUUUGAUUUCUUUUUCGCUCGCAUACCUUUGUCGUCUGGGUGAACUCCUUCAGAACCGUCGACUUAACACGCAACGAGAAAGCAGGAGAGGAAACAGGACAGCGGAAAUGGUCACCCAUCAACACAAUACAGGCUUAUUCAGAUAUCUUGGGUACUGCACAUCUUUUUUGGAGACUCCAACCUUAGAUAAGAGGAAAUAUAGGUGGAGACAGCUGUGAUACCAACCCCUUGACUGACCUAACCGGAGAGGGCAUCCAUCACCCAGCACUUACCCGCCUGCCCAGUGGCAGUUUGAUCGGUCACCUUUGACCUCUUCCACAUCUUGGUUUCCUCUGGAGCCCUGCUGAUUCAGAAAGCUCUGUAGCAACAAAAAAGACAGAAGAUACAAGAGGAAAUAUUUAGGACUGCAUACAAGCGCUUCUCAAAAGCAAAGCAGCGACAUUGACUGACGUUCUCCUCAGAGCUUUAGGUGUCAGUCUUUUUAACUUUGGGAUUGGCUGUGCUUUUAGUUGCUCAUUCUCUUUUUGAAAAUUCAAGCUGAUGCCACUCAAAGCUUGUCAUAGAUUUAUUUAAAAAAUCAGCUGCUCUAAACUGCUCAGAUGGCAUUUCCUGAAGCACA